rnacentral:tRNA from 1 species
CAAAUUAGAGCUUGAGAUAAGUAUUUCAUUUACAUUGAAAGGAUAUUAUAUUUAUAAUUAAUUUGA